rnacentral:rRNA from 1 species
GAUGAACGCUGGCGGCGUGCCUAAUACAUGCAAGUCGAGCGAACAGAUGAGGAGCUUGCUCCUCUGACGUUAGCGGCGGACGGGUGAGUAACACGUGGAUAACCUACCUAUAAGUCUGGGAUAACUUCGGGAAACCGGAGCUAAUACCGGAUAAUAUAUUGAACCGCAUGGUUCAAUAGUGAAAGACGGUUUUGCUGUCACUUAUAGAUGGAUCCGCGCCGCAUUAGCUAGUUGGUAAGGUAACGGCUUACCAAGGCAACGAUGCGUAGCCGACCUGAGAGGGUGAUCGGCCACACUGGAACUGAGACACGGUCCAGACUCCUACGGGAGGCAGCAGUAGGGAAUCUUCCGCAAUGGGCGAAAGCCUGACGGAGCAACGCCGCGUGAGUGAUGAAGGUCUUCGGAUCGUAAAACUCUGUUAUUAGGGAAGAACAAAUGUGUAAGUAACUAUGCACGUCUUGACGGUACCUAACCAGAAAGCCACGGCUAACUACGUG